rnacentral:rRNA from 1 species
UAAGACGAACCGUGCGAACGUUGUUCGGAAUCACUGGGCUUAAAGGGCGCGUAGGCGGUCGAUCAAGUCCGGGGUGAAAUCCUGCAGCUUAACUGUAGAAGUGCCUUGGAUACUGGUUGACUCGAGGGAGGUAGGGGUCUGUGGAACUUCUGGUGGAGCGGUGAAAUGCGUUGAUAUCAGAAGGAACGCCGGUGGCGAAAGCGACGGACUGGACCUCUUCUGACGCUGAGGCGCGAAAGCUAGGGGAGCAAACGGGAUUAGAUACCCCGGUAGUCCUAGCCCUAAACGAUGGGUACUAGAUUGUAGACUUAUCAUGGGUUUACAGUCGAAGCAAAAGUUUUAAGUACCCCGCCUGGGGAGUAUGGUCGCAAGGCUG